AAGUCGUAACAAGGUUUCCGUAGGUGAACCUGCGGAAGGAUCAUUACCGGGAGAGGGGCUUCGCGCUCCCGGGAGUUUCGGCCUCCACCUCUUCACCCAUUGAGUACCUACCUUUGUUGCUUUGGCGGGCCCAUGGGGUUCGCCCCCAGCCGGCCUCCGCGCUGGUGAGCGCCCGUCAGAGGCCCUCGAAAUUCUGUUUAUAGUGACGUCCGAGUUAAACACAAAUAGUUAAAA
rnacentral:misc_RNA from 1 species